GGCGACAUAGCCAAGUGGUAAGGCAGAGGACUGCAGCUCCUUGAUCCGCAGUGCGAAGCUGGGUGUCGACUCCA
rnacentral:tRNA from 1 species